CCUAAAUUUGCUGAAGUCACAGAAUCAUAGAAUGAUUCAGGUUGGAAAAGACCCUUAAGGUCAUAGAACCGUGUAAUAUUUUGUGUUAAGCGACCCCAAAGAUCCUCUAGCUCCAACCAUUAACCUGACAUUGCCAAUUCUCCCACCAAAUGUCCACUCUCAUGAUCUCACAGAUGAAAUCUGGUGGUUAAAGGGUCUGGUUCUACAUGGGGCACCACAGGCAGGAACCCAUACAGGGCAUCUCAGCAAUUCCCUGGUAAAGAGACCAUUUUUCUGCAUGGAUCAGGAAGAUCCAUUUUCCACCCAGCAAAGAGGGGCCAAUUUCCCUGUUCGCGUGACCUCUUGAAGCAAACUGGUGCCAUGAAGGAAGCAGAAGAAAAUAGCUGAAACUGGGGAGAGAGGCAGCCCUAGAGCGAGCUGGUGCCCUGUGGACUGAGAUAGGCUCUUUGCCUGCUUUGUUAUAAUACUUCAUUGGAACUGACACAUUGAUAGCCACAGUUUUUCUAGGAAGUGACCUUCAUGCUGCCCAUUGAUUCCCAGUGGCCAUCAACUCCUUGCAAUUGGAAUGACAGGCCAGGUUAAAGGUCAGUCCUUAAAUAAAGCUUCUGGAUUACUAAA